rnacentral:rRNA from 1 species
UACGUAGGGCGCAAGCGUUGUCCGGAAUUAUUGGGCGUAAAGAGCUCGUAGGCGGUUUGUCGCGUCUGCUGUGAAAUCCCGAGCUCAACCUCGGGCUUGCAGUGGGUACGGGCAGACUAGAGUGCGGUAGGGGAGACUGGAAUUCCUGGUGUAGCGGUGGAAUGCGCAGAUAUCGGGAGGAACACCGGUGGCGAAGGCGGUUCUCUGGGCCUGACCUGGACGCUGAGGAGCGAAAGCCGUGGGGAGCGAACAGG